rnacentral:rRNA from 1 species
UAACACGUGGGUAACCUGCCCAUCAGAGGGGGAUAACACUUGGAAACAGGUGCUAAUACCGCAUAAUAGUCGACACCGCAUGGUGUUGAUUUGAAAGACGCUUUCGGGUGUUACUGAUGGAUGGACCCGCGGUGCAUUAGCUAGUUGGUGAGGUAACGGCUCACCAAGGCGAUGAUGCAUAGCCGACCUGAGAGGGUGAUCGGCCACACUGGGACUGAGACACGGCCCAGACUCCUACGGGAGGCAGCAGUAGGGAAUCUUCGGCAAUGGACGAAAGUCUGACCGAGCAACGCCGCGUGAGGGAAGAAGGUUUUCGGAUCGUAAAACUCUGUUGUUAGAGAAGAACAAGUAGGAGAGUAACUGCUCUUACCUUGACGGUAUCUAACCAGAAAGCCACGGCUAACUACGUGCCAGCAGCCGCGGUAAUACGUAGGUGGCAAGCGUUGUCCGGAUUUAUUGGGCGUAAAGCGAGCGCAGGCGGUUUCUUAAGUCUGAUGUGAAASCCCCCGGCUCAMCCGGGGAGGGUCAUUG